rnacentral:rRNA from 1 species
GACAGAGGCCUCAAGCGUUAGGCGGAAUCACCGGGCUUAAAGCGUGUGUAGGCGGACUUCUAAGUGCCUUGUGAAAUCCCACGGCUCAACCGUGGAACUGCUGGGCAUACUGGGAGUCUUGGGCCAUUCAGGGGCAACUGGAACAAGCGGUGGAGCGGUGAAAUGCGUAGAUAUCGCUUGGAACGCCGAAGGUGAAAACAGGUUGCUGGGGAUGUGCCGACGCUGAGACACGAAAGCCAGGGGAGCAAACGGG